UAAAAAAUUUGGCGGUGUUUUAGUCUAUUCAGAGGAAUUUGUUUUUUAAUCGAUAAUCCACGAUGGACCUUACUUAAGUUUGUUAUCAGUUUAUAUACCGUCGUUAUUAGAAUAUUUUAUAAGGAAGUUAAUUUUCAAGAUUUUUUUAGAAAAUAUAUCAGAUCAAGGUGUAGCUUAUAUUUAAGUAAAAAUGAAUUACAAUAAAUUUAUUUAUACGAAUAUAAAUUUGAAAUAUUUAUUGAAGGUGGAUUUGAUAGUAAAAUUAUAAAGAUUAAUAAUUUGAUUAUAGCUCUAAAAUAUGCACAUAUCGCCCGUCACUCUUAUUAUUAAGAUAAGAUAAGUCGUAACAUAGUAGAUGUACUGGAAGGUGUAUCUAGAAUGCAAUUUAAAGCUUAUUAAGUAAAGUAUUUCAUUUACAUUGAAAAGAUUUUUGUGCAAAUCAAUAUAAAUUGAUUAGAUUUUAUUUAUUAAUAUAAAUUUAUUUUAAAUAAAAAUUAUUAAAAAUAAUUAUAUAAUAAUUUGUUUUAGUAUUUAAUAUAGAAAAAAUAAUAUUAAUAAUAGUUUAAUAGUAUUGUAAAAUAAAAUUGAAAUAUUUGAAAAAUUUUUAUUA
rnacentral:rRNA from 1 species